AAAAACAUAGCCUUUAGCCAAACAAGUAUUAAAGGUCUAGCCUGCCCAGUGAAUUAUUUCAACGGCCGCGGUAUCCUAACCGUGCAAAGGUAGCGUAAUCAUUUGUCUUCUAAAUAGAGACUUGUAUGAACGGCUAACUGAGGGCCCAACUGUCUCCUUAGGCCAAUCAAUGAAACUGAUCUUUCAGUACAAAAGCUGAAAUAAACACAUAAGACGAGAAGACCCUGUGGAGCUUAAAACCUACACUAUAAACGCCCAUCCAUCCCUAAAGGGACACCUCCCUCCCCAUAGUAAAAAGUUUUYAGUUGGGGCGACUUUGGAACAAAACAGAACUUCCAUGCCAGGGACCCCUCCCUAUAAAGGCUUACAUGCCAAAAUAAUACUCUUUUGACCCAGCCUGUCUGAUCAACGAACCAAGUUACCCCAGGGAUAACAGCGCCAUCCUCUUCAAGAGUUCCUAUCGACAAGAGGGUUUACGACCUCGAUGUUGGAUCAGGACACCCCGGUGGUGUAGCCGCUACCAAAGGUUCGUUUGUUCAACGAUUAACAGU
rnacentral:rRNA from 1 species